ACCCUUGUGCAGUGGCAGUAUCGUAGCCUGUGAGGUUUAUCCAAGGUGUGAUUAUUGCUAGUUGAAAACUUUACCCAAUACCCCACCGUGACGACUUGAAAUAUAGUCGGCGCUGGUAAUUUUUGAAGGUCUCUCCGGAGG
ensembl:snRNA U4 U4 spliceosomal RNA